rnacentral:lncRNA from 1 species
GGUUCCUUCUGCUGUUCUUAAUACACAGACCUCCUGUGGGAGAGCCACCCCCGCUAGGCCCAAGCAGGAAGGAGAAGCCAAACUCUGUGUAAAAUCUGGGCCCUUCGACCCGUGGACUUUAAGUUCUUUCCUGUGAGGUUCCCUAAAGGCCCUGAAGACGGAGCUGAGUCCCAUUGCCAAGCGGGAACCGAGCAGCUGCACCCAGGGAGACCAGAACAAAUGCUCUGGGAUGGCCGUCAGCGGCUCCACUCUUCCUGUGCAGCUUCCUCCUUUGACCUUUCAAGGAUCUUCUUGCAGUUAAAAGCUCCCAGGAAACUAGAAAGAGCUGAAGGGCAGAACACCGAGAUGCCCCCGCCCUCAGCGCUGGCACACGCCCAGGCGGACCCCAGGUAGCAGUGGCAAAAUGAGCCUCGCCCCUCCGUUGUUUCCCAGGCUGUGGACUUCAUCCAAGGGCAGGAGUGGCCUGCAGCUGGUCAGCGCCCAUCCACUGGGCUCUCCCGAGCAGGAGUGCUGGCCUAUUGAAAGGGCACCAGGCACACGCACAUG